GAUGAAGAACGCAGCGAAAUGCGAUAAGUAAUGUGAAUUGCAGAAUUCAGUGAAUCAUCGAAUCUUUGAACGCACAUUGCGCCCGCCAGUAUUCUGGCGAGCAUGCCUGUUCGAGCGUCAUUUCAACCAUCAAGCCCCAGGCUUGUGUUGGAGCCCUGCGGCUGCCGCAGCCUCCCAAAACCAGUGGCGGGCUCGCUAUCACACCGAGUGCAGUAGUUUACUCUUCGCUCAGGGCGUGUGGCGGGUGCUAGCCGUGAAACCCCCAACUUCUCAAGGUUGACCUCGGAUCAGGUAGGAAUACCCGCUGAACUUAAGCAUAUCAAUUAGCGGAGGA
rnacentral:misc_RNA from 1 species